rnacentral:rRNA from 1 species
UACGUAGGCAGCAAGCGUUGUUCGGAAUUACUGGGCGUAAAGAGUGUGUAGGCGGUGUUCCAAGUCUGUUGUGAAAUCUCCCGGCUUAACUGGGAGGGUGCGGCGGAAACUGGGAUGCUAGAGGAUGGGAGAGGUAAGCGGAAUUCCUGGUGUAGCGGUGAAAUGCGUAGAUAUCGUAAGGAAGACCAGUGGCGAAGGCGGGUCUCUGGACAGUUCCUGACGCUGAGGCACGAAGGUCAGGGGAGCAAACGGG